GUGGCGAACGGGUGAGUAACACGUGAGUAACCUGCCCUUAACUCUGGGAUAAGCCUGGGAAACUGGGUCUAAUACCGGAUAUGACUCCUCAUCGCAUGGUGGGGGGUGGAAAGCUUUUGUGGUUUUGGAUGGACUCGCGGCCUAUCAGCUUGUUGGUGAGGUAAUGGCUCACCAAGGCGACGACGGGUAGCCGGCCUGAGAGGGUGACCGGCCACACUGGGACUGAGACACGGCCCAGACUCCUACGGGAGGCAGCAGUGGGGAAUAUUGCACAAUGGGCGCAAGCCUGAUGCAGCGACGCCGCGUGAGGGAUGACGGCCUUCGGGUUGUAAACCUCUUUCAGUAGGGAAGAAGCGAAAGUGACGGUACCUGCAGAAGAAGCGCCGGCUAACUACGUGCCAGCAGCCGCGGUAAUACGUAGGGCGCAAGCGUUAUCCGGAAUUAUUGGGCGUAAAGAGCUCGUAGGCGGUUUGUCGCGUCUGCCGUGAAAGUCCGGGGCUCAACUCCGGAUCUGCGGUGGGUACGGGCAGACUAGAGUGAUGUAGGGGAGACUGGAAUUCCUGGUGUAGCGGUGAAAUGCGCAGAUAUCAGGAGGAACACCGAUGGCGAAGGCAGGUCUCUGGGCAUUAACUGACGCUGAGGAGCGAAAGCAUGGGGAGCGAACAGGAUUAGAUACCCUGGUAGUCCAUGCCGUAAACGUUGGGCACUAGGUGUGGGG
rnacentral:rRNA from 1 species